rnacentral:lncRNA from 1 species
AUGUCCUCUGCCGACCAGAGCUCCAGUCCGGCGGGCCUGGCUGACCUACACCGCGCCCUGACGUCCUCUGCCGACCAGAGCUCCAGUCCGGCGGGCCUGGCUGACCUACACAGCGCCCUGACGUCCUCUGCCCACCAGAGCUCCAGCCCGGCGGCCCCUGCUGCCUGCCAGCGCCCUGACGUCCUCUGCCCACCAGAGCUCCAGUCCGGCGGUCCAUCGCAGGGCAGGCGUGGCAAGCACGUCCCUGACAGACAGACAGACAGACAGACGAGAAAGAUGGCGCUUAAGCUGCCUGACCCUGGGCCAGCUCAGGGUGAGGACGGCCCACUCACGGGAGAAAGGACACGGGCGACCAGAGCGUCCCACGGGCCCGACUCCCACGCAGGGCCUGGCGUCACACCAGGGACACGGGCCCACACCCGCAGUCGCUGUCUUCCUGCCAAUCAUCUAAACAGAAGCCCGGAGCUGGGAAGUGGGCCUCAGCCAAGAGAGACCUGUGCCUGUGUGUGUGCUCCCUGUGUGUGCUCAGUGUGUACUGUGUGUGUUCAGUGUGUGUGUGCUCAGUGUGUGCUGUGUGUGCUCCCUGUGUACUGUGUGUGUUCCGUGUGUACUGUGCGUGCUCCCUGUGUACUGUGUGUGCUCCCUGUGUGUGCUCACUGUGUACUGUGUGUGCUCACUGUGUACUGUGUGUGCUCCCUGUGUACUGUGUGCUCCCUGUGUACUGUGUGUGCUCACUGUGUACUGUGUGCUCCCUGUGUACUGUGUGUGCUCACUGUGUACUGUGUGCUCCCCUGUGUACUGUGCGUGCUCCCUGUGUACUGUGUGUGCUCCCUGUGUACUGUGUGUGCUCACUGUGUACUGUGUGUGCUCCCUGUGUACUGUGUGUGCUCACUGUGUACUGUGUGCUCCCUGUGUACUGUGUGUGCUCCCUGUGUACUGUGUAUGUGCUGUGUACUGUGUGUGCUCAGUGUGUGUGUGCUCACUGUGUACUGUGUAUGUGCUGUGUACUGUGUGUGCUCCCUGUGUACUGUGUGUGCUCAGUGUGUGUGUGUGCUCAGUGUGUGUGCUCCCUGUGUACUGUGUGUGUGCUGUGUACUGUGUGCUCCCUGUGUACUGUGUGUGCUCCCUGUGUGUGCUUCCUGUGUACUGUGUGUGCUCCCUGUGUACUGUGUGUGCUCCCUGUGUACUGUGUGUGCUCACUGUGUGCUGUGUGUACUGUGUGUGCUCACUGUGUGUGCUCCCUGUGUACUGUGUGUGCUCCCUGUGUGUGCUCCAUGUGUACUGUGUGUGCUCCGUGUGUACUGUGUGUGCUCACUGUGUACUGUGUGUGUGCUGUGUACUGUGUGCUCCCUGUGUACUGUGUGUGCUCCCUGUGUGUGCUCCCUGUGUGUGUGCUCCAUGUGUACUGUGUGUGCUCCGUGUGUGUGCUCACUGUGUACUGUGUGUGUGCUCCCUGUGUACUGUGUGUGCUCCCUGUGUACUGUGUGUGCUCACUGUGUGUGCUCCCUGUGUACUGUGUGUGCCCACUGUGUACCGUGUGUGUGUGCUGGUCAUGCAGCCUCAGCCCCACCCUCCGCCUGGGAGAACCCUUGCCCCUCACCCUGGAAGCCCCUCCUUCCCUCCGUCCCCUGCCCUGGCACCUGGCAGGGUCGGAGGUUGUUCUGUGUCCCUUGCUGUUCUCUCGCCCUUCAUGAGACGGAAGCGGACUUCAGGGAGGAGAAAACGCGGGGGUUUAAGGUUGGUGAGUCCGUAUCGCCAGGCACAGAGCAGGCACGAGGUUAG